AGAGUUUGAUCCUGGCUCAGGAUGAACGCUAGCUACAGGCUUAACACAUGCAAGUCGAGGGGCAGCAUGGUCUUAGCUUGCUAAGGCCGAUGGCGACCGGCGCACGGGUGAGUAACACGUAUCCAACCUGCCGUCUACUCUUGGACAGCCUUCUGAAAGGAAGAUUAAUACAAGAUGGCAUCAUGAGUCCGCAUGUUCACAUGAUUAAAGGUAUUCCGGUAGACGAUGGGGAUGCGUUCCAUUAGAUAGUAGGCGGGGUAACGGCCCACCUAGUCUUCGAUGGAUAGGGGUUCUGAGAGGAAGGUCCCCCACAUUGGAACUGAGACACGGUCCAAACUCCUACGGGAGGCAGCAGUGAGGAAUAUUGGUCAAUGGGCGAGAGCCUGAACCAGCCAAGUAGCGUGAAGGAUGACUGCCCUAUGGGUUGUAAACUUCUUUUAUAAAGGAAUAAAGUCGGGUAUGGAUACCCGUUUGCAUGUACUUUAUGAAUAAGGAUCGGCUAACUCCGUGCCAGCAGCCGCGGUAAUACGGAGGAUCCGAGCGUUAUCCGGAUUUAUUGGGUUUAAAGGGAGCGUAGAUGGAUGUUUAAGUCAGUUGUGAAAGUUUGCGGCUCAACCGUAAAAUUGCAGUUGAUACUGGAUAUCUUGGGUGCAGUUGAGGCAGGCGGAAUUCGUGGUGUAGCGGUGAAAUGCUUAGAUAUCACGAAGAACUCCGAUUGCGAAGGCAGCCUGCUAAGCUGCAACUGACAUUGAGGCUCGAAAGUGUGGGUAUCAAACAGGAUUAGAUACCCUGGUAGUCCACACGGUAAACGAUGAAUACUCGCUUGUUUUGCGAUAUUACAGCAAGCGGCCAAGCGAAAACGUAAAUAUUCCCCCUGGGGAAUACCCCGGCAACGAUGAAAACUCAAAAGAAUUGACGGGGGCCCCCCACAAGCGAGAGGAACAUGUGUUUUAAUUAGAAUGAUACGAGAAGGAUCCUUACCCGGGCUUAAAUUGCAGAUGAAUUACGGUGAAAGCCGUAAGCUGCGAGGCAUCUGUGAAGGUGCUGCAUGGUCGUCGUCAGCUCGUGCCGUGAGGUGUCGGCUUAAGUGCCAUAACGAGCGCAACCCUUGUUGUCAGUUACUAACAGGUUCCGCUGAGGACUCUGACAAGACUGCCAUCGUAAGAUGUGAGGAAGGUGGGGAUGACGUCAAAUCAGCACGGCCCUUACGUCCGGGGCUACACACGUGUUACAAUGGGGGGUACAGAGGGCCGCUACCACGCGAGUGGAUGCCAAUCCCCAAAACCUCUCUCAGUUCGGACUGGAGUCUGCAACCCGACUCCACGAAGCUGGAUUCGCUAGUAAUCGCGCAUCAGCCACGGCGCGGUGAAUACGUUCCCGGGCCUUGCACUCACCGCCCGUCA
rnacentral:rRNA from 1 species